AGUGAACGCUGGCGGUAGGCCUAACCCAUGCAAGUCGAACGGCAGCACAGUAAGAGCUUGCUCUUACGGGUGGCGAGUGGCGGACGGGUGAGGAAUACAUCGGAAUCUACUUUUUCGUGGGGGAUAACGUAGGGAAACUUACGCUAAUACCGCAUACGACCUACGGGUGAAAGCAGGGGAUCUUCGGACCUUGCGCGAUUGAAUGAGCCGAUGUCGGAUUAGCUAGUUGGCGGGGUAAAGGCCCACCAAGGCGACGAUCCGUUGCUGGUCUGAGAGGAUGAUCAGCCACACUGGAACUGAGACACGGUCCAGACUCCUACGGGAGGCAGCAGUGGGGAAUAUUGGACAAUGGGCGCAAGCCUGAUCCAGCCAUACCGCGUGGGUGAAGAAGGCCUUCGGGUUGUAAAGCCCUUUUGUUGGGAAAGAAAAGCAGCAGGUUAAUACCCCGCUGUUCUGACGGUACCCAAAGAAUAAGCACCGGCUAACUUCGUG
rnacentral:rRNA from 1 species